GGACGGGUGAGUAACGCGUGGGUAACCUGCCUUAUACAGGGGGAGUAACAGUCAGAAAUGGCUGCUAAUACCGCAUAAGCGCACAGAGCUGCAUGGCUCAGUGUGAAAAACUCCGGUGGUAUAAGAUGGACCCGCGUUGGAUUAGCUUGUUGGCGGGGUAACGGCCCACCAAGGCGACGAUCCAUAGCCGGCCUGAGAGGGUGAACGGCCACAUUGGGACUGAGACACGGCCCAGACUCCUACGGGAGGCAGCAUG
rnacentral:rRNA from 1 species